rnacentral:tRNA from 1 species
GGAGAUUGUAGCUCAGUUGGUUAGAGCGCCAGAUUGUGGCUCUGGAGGCCGUGGGUUCGAAUCCCAUCUCUCUCCCA